UCGCGGUGGCGGAGCGUCGUUUGCGACGCCCAACACACAAAACAAGCGGUGAGUGCUUUGGGGUGGGGUGACUGCGUACCUUUUGUAUAAUGGGUCAGCGACUUAUAUUCUGUAGCAAGGUUAACCGUAUAGGGGAGCCGAAGGGAAACCGAGUCUUAACUGGGCGUUAAGUUGCAGGGUAUAGACCCGAAACCCGGUGAUCUAGCCAUGGGCAGGUUGAAGGUUGGGUAACACUAACUGGAGGACCGAACCGACUAAUGUUGAAAAAUUAGCGGAUGACUUGUGGCUGGGGGUGAAAGGCCAAUCAAACCGGGAGAUAGCUGGUUCUCCCCGAAAGCUAUUUAGGUAGCGCCUCGUGAACUCAUCUUCGGGGGUAGAGCACUGUUUCGGCUAGGGGGUCAUCCCGACUUACCAACCCGAUGCAAACUGCGAAUACCGAAGAAUGUUAUCACGGGAGACACACGGCGGGUGCUAACGUCCGUCGUGAAGAGGGAAACAACCCAGACCGCCAGCUAAGGUCCCAAAGUCACAGUUAAGUGGGAAACGAUGUGGGAAGGCUCAGACAGCCAGGAUGUUGGCUUAGAAGCAGCCAUCAUUUAAAGAAAGCGUAAUAGCUCACUGGUCGAGUCGGCCUGCGCGGAAGAUGUAACGGGGCUAAACUGUGCACCGAAGCUGCGGCAGCGACGCUUAUGCGUUGUUGGGUAGGGGAGCGUUCUGUAAGCCUGCGAAGGUGUCCUGUGAGGGAUGCUGGAGGUAUCAGAAGUGCGAAUGCUGACAUAAGUAACGAUAA
rnacentral:rRNA from 1 species